rnacentral:rRNA from 1 species
CCUACGGGAGGCAGCAGUCGGGAAUCUUGCGCAAUGGGCGAAAGCCUGACGCAGCAACGCCGCGUGAGCGACGAAGGCCUUCGGGUCGUAAAGCUCUGUUGUUGGGGACGAAGGGUUAGGGGUUAAUAGCCCCGAGCCUGACGGUACCCUUCGAGGAAGCCCCGGCUAACUACGUGCCAGCAGCCGCGGUAAUACGUAGGGGGCGAGCGUUGUCCGGAAUUAUUGGGCGUAAAGAGCGUGUAGGCGGUCCGGUAAGUCCGCCGUGAAAACUCGGGGCUCAACCCCGGGCUUGCGGUGGAUACUGUCGGGCUAGAGGGUGGUAGAGGGGAGUGGAAUUCCCGGUGCAGCGGUGAAAUGCGCAGAUAUCUGGAGGAACACCUUGAUCGAAGGCUGUUCCCUGGGCCGUUGCUGACGCUGAAACCGGAGCUUCUGGGGAGCAAACCGGAUUAGAUACCCUGGUAGUCCACGCCGUAAACUAUGAACACUAGGUGUGGGGGGAGUCGAAUCCCUCUGUGCCGUAGCCAACGCGAUUGGUGUUUCGCCUGGGGAGUAAUUGUGCAAGAUUAAAACUGCUGGAAUUCGUAGGAGGCCGGACCGUCACUCGAUCAUGUUGUUUAAGACCAUGCUACGCGAAAAACCUUACCUGGGCUUGAUGUGUGGCUGCUAGCGCACGGAAACGUGUGAGCUUCGAGGGUGCCUCACAGAUGCUGCAUGGCUGUCUUCAUCUCGUGUCUGGAGAAGGUGGGUUAGUCAUGCGGUAUCGCACGCCCGUGGUGUGUUGUCCCAUUAUCUUGGGGACUCACACAGACUGCCUGUGAC